UUAAAGUCCAUAUCAGCAAAAAAAAGAAGCCAUGUUGUUGGUGAGAUUCAAUUUUUUCAAUUUUAAAAUUAGGUACAAGUUCCAACAAUAGUUUCCUUUAAUUUUUAAUUAUUGUUUACCCUUUUAAAAAAUUUGUUUUUUUAUUUUUAUUUUUUUGUGAUUUUAAUUAAUUUAAACAAUAGAGAGUUUUUUAAUAUUAAUUGUUAGGUCAGUCUCAUGAAAAAAAAAAAAAAAACCAUGUGGCUGGUGAGAUUCAAUUUUUUAAAAUUUUCUAAAUUUUAUAAUAGUUUCCUUUAAUUUUUAAUUAUAUAUUACUAUUUUAAUUCAUAGAGACAUUUUUAC
rnacentral:lncRNA from 1 species